GCUUUUUGAGAGAUGCAAGUGGCUCCUUCAGCACAUGCUAUUACCUUCCUUCCAAAAUGCCACUGUUCCUCUAUCUGGCUCUCUUGCUGCUUGGGCUGCAUUGUGCACCACCUAACAGCUCUGAAGGCAAAGUAACUACCUGCCAUUCCCCCCAACAAAAUGUCACUCUUUAUAAGAUGUCAUCCAUCAAUGCUGACUUUGCAUUCAACCUGUACCGGAGGUUCACUGUGGAGACCCCAGACCGGAACAUCUUCUUAUCCCCCGUGAGCAUUUCUGCAGCUUUGGCCAUGCUUUCCCUUGGGGCCCGCUCCAGCACCCAAACUCAAAUCCUGGAAAGCUUGGGGUUCAACCUCACGGACACUCCAGUGACAGAGAUCGAACAGGGCUUCCAGCACCUGAUCUGUUCACUGAAUUUUCCAAAGAAAGAGCUAGAGUUACAGAUGGGAAAUGUUCUCUUCAUUGGGAAGCAGCUGAAACCACUGGCAAAGUUCUUGAACGAUGUCAAUAGCCUCUAUGAGACUGAAGUCUUUUCUACCGACUUCUCCAAUGUUUCUAUAGCCCAGCAGGAGAUCAACAGUCAUGUGGAGAAGCAAACCAAGGGGAAAGUUGUGGGCAUCAUCCAAGAUCUCAAAUCGGAUACCAUCAUGGUCCUGGUUAACUAUAUCCACUUUAAAGCUCAGUGGGCAAGUCCUUUUGAUCCAUCCAAGACAGAAGAGGGUUCCAGCUUCUUAGUGGACAAGACCACAAUGGUUCAAGUGCCCAUGAUGCACCAGAUGGAACAGUACUAUCACCUGGUGGAUGCAGAGCUGAACUGCACAGUGCUGCAAAUGGAUUACAGCAAGAAUGCUCUGGCACUCUUUGUCCUUCCCAAGGAGGGCCAGAUGGAGUGGGUGGAAGGGGCCAUGUCAUCUAAAACACUGAAGAAGUGGAACCGCUUACUGAAUAAGGGAUGGAUUGACUUGUUUGUUCCAAAGUUUUCCAUUUCGGCCACAUAUGACCUUGGAGCCAUCCUUCUGAAGAUGGGCAUCCAGGAUGCUUUUGCUGAUGAUGCUGAUUUUUCUGCACUCACAGGGGACAAAGGUCUUAAACUUUCCAAGUCAUUCAUGGUAGGCCUGCCAUGUGUCAGGAUCUGUUCCAACAAAACGAAACAAGAAUUUUCCUGGAGCUUACAUUCCAAGUGUGGAGAGACAGACAGUAAACUAAGUAAGUAAAAUAAACUAUGUCUUACAUGGUGAAAAGUACUAUGGAGAACAAUAAAGCAGGAAACAAGGCAAGUACAGCAAUUCAGAUAUAAUGGUAACUGCAGGCUGGAGAAGUAAGGGUUACUCUUUCUGUUUGAUAUACCACACUUCCCAGAAGUGGAGAUAAAAUGCCUCCACAAGGUCUAAGUUGAUUUUUGCUCCCCCUAUCACUUAUUUAUUUCGUUGCAAAUUAUUAACUUUGCCAAGUAUGAUUUUGCAAGGGCUUGUCUCAAUCUGCAGCCCUCUUCCCCCAUCCUGUGAGACAACUAUCUUAUUUACUUUCCAUCUCCCUACUGCCCAUCCAGUAGUCCUGCUUUUGCUGACUGUGGGCCCAGGACAAGAAUAACUCCCCUGAUGUUGCUCCUCCUAUUCCCUGCCUCUUAUCCACUUUCUUAUUUUUUCAAGAAACUUGAGUAAUAUCACAAGUGUGAGUUUUGAAGUCAGAGGAACCUGAGUUUAAACCUUGGUUCUACCACUUACUGACUAUGGGAACUUUGGAAAAUCAUUUAAUUCCUGAAUAACAUGAAAUGGCUCUAAUGUUAGGGAAACAAUCUGAAGUUGUUGUAUAGAUUGAGAGAUUGGCACCAGAACACAAAUCAGUGCAACUCUUCUCAGGCAUGGUAUCCAAGGGCUCAGAUCAGCCAAGAAUUAAAGUGUGAGUAUACCACUGAACAGUGAAGCCUGACUGCUAAUGUGCUCAUGAAAAGAAGAGUGGAGAGUGGAAGAAGGAAGUCAUAAAUUCUAUACAUGAUCUCGAGACCAGCUGCAGAACUGAGGGCUUUGCAGGUAAAAUUCCCCACCUGGAUAGUCCCCUGUUAGCAGGACCAGCUGCAACCCUACGUGAUCCUCAACCUAAGGGAUUUUACUUCCCUGGCAGCCCAUGAAACUAUCCAAACAAGGAACAGUUUAGUUUAAGGGUACUGUUUUUUACAUAACUGCAUUUUAAAUAUUUUUCAUAUAAUGCCUAUAUAAUUGUAUAGUAAUGAUUUUGGAUUCGAGUAGAUGUCUCUCUGCCUGUUUGAAUACAAGUUUCUGUAAUGGAUGAGAAUGUCUUAUUUACUUUGUACCACCAGGCCUCACAUACACAGUAAAUGCUCAAUACAUAUUGAUUUUUUUGAAUAAUUAAAUUUGAUUCAAACAUUGUGUCUGAAUAGUAGGUUGCAUGGAGUGAUUAUAGGUUAUGAGGAUGGAAAAUAAAGUGCUGGCUCUCCACCAAAAUUUUUGAGGAGUGUGCUAGGAACUUUGAAACUAAUUUAGUAACCUUAUUAGGGUAUCAUCAUAUUAUUUCAGCAGGGAGAGUGUGUAGGCCCAGACUCUCAU